CCUACGGGAGGCAGCAGUGAGGAAUAUUGGUCAAUGGGCGAGAGCCUGAACCAGCCAAGUCGCGUGAAGGAUGACGGCCCUACGGGUUGUAAACUUCUUUUGUCAGGGAGCAAUUGGGUCCACGCGUGGGCUUAGCGAGAGUACCUGAAGAAAAAGCAUCGGCAAACUCCGUGCCAGCAGCCGCGGUAAUACGGGGGAUGCGAGCGUUAUCCGGAUUUAUUGGGUUUAAAGGGUGCGUAGGCGGAAUAUCAAGUCAGCGGUAAAGAUUCGGGGCUCAACCCCGUAGUGCCGUUGAAACUGGUGUUCUUGAGUGGGCGAGAGGUAGGCGGAAUGCGUGGUGUAGCGGUGAAAUGCAUAGAUAUCACGCAGAACUCCGAUUGCGAAGGCAGCAUACCGGCGCCCAACUGACGCUGAGGCACGAAAGCGUGGGUAUCGAACAGGAUUAGAUACCCUUGUAGUC
rnacentral:rRNA from 1 species